rnacentral:rRNA from 1 species
AUACGUAGGUGACAAGCGUUAUCCGGAUUUACUGGGCGUAAAGGGCGUGUAGGCGGUCUUGCAAGUCAGAAGUGAAAUUCCUGAGCUCAACUCGGGCGCUGCUUCUGAAACUGCAGGACUUGAGUGCUGGAGGGGAUAGCGGAAUUCCUAGUGGAGCGGUAAAAUGCGCAGAUAUUAGGAAGAACACCGGUGGCGAAGGCGGCUAUCUGGACAGUAACUGACGCGGAGGGGCGGAAGCGUGGGGGGCAAACAGGAUUAGAUACCCUGGUAGUCCACGCUGUAAACGAUGAAUACUAGGUGUAGGGGGUAUCGACUCCCUCUGUGCCGCAGGUAACACAAUAAGUAUUCCGCCUGGGGAGUACGGCCGCAAGGUUGAAACUUAAAGGAAUUGACGGGG